rnacentral:rRNA from 1 species
AGUUUGAUCAUGGCUCAGAUUGAACGCUGGCGGCAGGCCUAACACAUGCAAGUCGAACGGUAACAGGAAACAGCUUGCUGUUUCGCUGACGAGUGGCGGACGGGUGAGUAAUGUCUGGGAAACUGCCUGAUGGAGGGGGAUAACUACUGGAAACGGUAGCUAAUACCGCAUAACGUCGCAAGACCAAAGAGGGGGACCUUCGGGCCUCUUGCCAUCGGAUGUGCCCAGAUGGGAUUAGCUUGUUGGUGGGGUAACGGCUCACCAAGGCGACGAUCCCUAGCUGGUCUGAGAGGAUGACCAGCCACACUGGAACUGAGACACGGUCCAGACUCCUACGGGAGGCAGCAGUGGGGAAUAUUGCACAAUGGGCGCAAGCCUGAUGCAGCCAUGCCGCGUGUAUGAAGAAGGCCUUCGGGUUGUAAAGUACUUUCAGCGGGGAGGAAGGGAGUAAAGUUAAUACCUUUGCUCAUUGACGUUACCCGCAGAAGAAGCACCGGCUAACUCCGUGCCAGCAGCCGCGGUAAUACGGAGGGUGCAAGCGUUAAUCGGAAUUACUGGGCGUAAAGCGCACGCAGGCGGUUUGUUAAGUCAGAUGUGAAAUCCCCGGGCUCAACCUGGGAACUGCAUCUGAUACUGGCAAGCUUGAGUCUCGUAGAGGGGGGUAGAAUUCCAGGUGUAGCGGUGAAAUGCGUAGAGAUCUGGAGGAAUACCGGUGGCGAAGGCGGCCCCCUGGACGAAGACUGACGCUCAGGUGCGAAAGCGUGGGGAGCAAACAGGAUUAGAUACCCUGGUAGUCCACGCCGUAAACGAUGUCGACUUGGAGGUUGUGCCCUUGAGGCGUGGCUUCCGGAGCUAACGCGUUAAGUCGACCGCCUGGGGAGUACGGCCGCAAGGUUAAAACUCAAAUGAAUUGACGGGGGCCCGCACAAGCGGUGGAGCAUGUGGUUUAAUUCGAUGCAACGCGAAGAACCUUACCUGGUCUUGACAUCCACAGAACUUUCCAGAGAUGGAUUGGUGCCUUCGGGAGCUGUGAGACAGGUGCUGCAUGGCUGUCGUCAGCUCGUGUUGUGAAAUGUUGGGUUAAGUCCCGCAACGAGCGCAACCCUUAUCCUUUGUUGCCAGCGGUCCGGCCGGGAACUCAAAGGAGACUGCCAGUGAUAAACUGGAGGAAGGUGGGGAUGACGUCAAGUCAUCAUGGCCCUUACGACCAGGGCUACACACGUGCUACAAUGGCGCAUACAAAGAGAAGCGACCUCGCGAGAGCAAGCGGACCUCAUAAAGUGCGUCGUAGUCCGGAUUGGAGUCUGCAACUCGACUCCAUGAAGUCGGAAUCGCUAGUAAUCGUGGAUCAGAAUGCCACGGUGAAUACGUUCCCGGGCCUUGUACACACCGCCCGUCACACCAUGGGAGUGGGUUGCAAAAGAAGUAGGUAGCUUAACCUUCGGGAGGGCGCUUACCACUUUGUGAUUCAUGACUGGGGUGAAGUCGUAACAAGGUAACCGUAGGGGAACCUGCGGUUGGAUCACCU